AGCGAACGCUGGCGGCAGGCCUAACACAUGCAAGUCGAACGAACCCUUCGGGGUUAGUGGCGGACGGGUGAGUAACACGUGGGAACGUACCCUUAGGUUCGGAAUAACUCAGGGAAACUUGAGCUAAUACCGAAUGUGCCCUUCGGGGGAAAGAUUUAUCGCCUUUGGAGCGGCCCGCGUCUGAUUAGCUAGUUGGUGAGGUAAAGGCUCAACAAGGCUACGAUCAGUAGCUGGUCUGAGAGGAUGGCCAGCCACACUGGGACUGAGACGCGGCCCAGACUCCUACGGGAGGCAGCAGUGGGGAAUCUUGCGCAAUGGGCGAAAGCCUGACGCAGCCAUGCCGCGUGGAUGAUGAAGGUCUUAGGAUUGUAAAAUCCUUUCACCGGUGAAGAUAAUGACUGUAGCCGGAGAAGAAGCCCCGGCUAACUUCGUGCCAGCAGCCGCAGUAAAAC
rnacentral:rRNA from 1 species